rnacentral:lncRNA from 1 species
UGUGCUGCCUACGAGCCUGUUUGGUGCUUUACUGAGGGUUUGUGAGGUCCUGCUGGAGGGUUUAUGUUCCUCAGCUCUUAGAAUUUCCCUUAAGGCCUCCUGUUCGACAGGUUCCUCCCUGAUCUCUCUGCUGGGAGGCCCUCCCACCCUCUCCUUUCUUUUCCUUUCACAGAAACCCUGCGCUCACGCCCCACAGUCCGGGGAGGCUCCGUUCAGUCCAUCGAUCCCAAGUGCCUUCUUUACCAACAAGGAACUCAGAAAGAAGCACUUUUCAAAAUGCUGCACAUGUAUAGGAUUUGUGGGUUCGUUUCUUAGUGGGGUAAAAUGCACAGAACAUGAACUUCACCCCCGUAACCAAAGGGUACAACGCUGUGGCUUUUAGCGUCUUCAUAGUGUCAUGCAACCACCACCACUGCAUAAUUGCAAACAUUUUCAUCACCUCUCCCCGCCCCCCAAAAGACACCCUGUACACAUUAAGCAGUCACUCCCCGUUUCCCUUCCCCACGUUCUCCUCUGCAACUUGCUCUUCUCAUUUAACAAGACAUCAGGAAAGUCCUUCCGGGUCUAAGGACCCAUUCUUUUUUUUUUUUUUUUUUAAUUUUUUUAAUGUUUAUUCAUUUUUGAGAGACAGAGACAGAGUGUGAGCAGGGGAGGGGUAGAGAGAGGGAGAUACAGAAUCCCAAGCAGGCUCCAGGCUCCCAGAUGUCAGCACAGAGCCCGACGUGGGGCUCGAGCUCACCAACCGUUGAGAUCGUGACCUGAGCCAAGGUUGGACGCUCAGCGGUCCACCCAGGUGCCCCUACACACUUUUAGGACUUUGUGUGCAAAAUCUUCUCUUUCACCUGUCUUUGCAGGCCUUGUCUGGGGAUCAGAGUGGGCACGGAGGACUGGCGAGUUCUGCCUGGGAGAAUUCGAGAAGACUCCUCGGAGAAUGUCGUGCCGACGAGCAGCGGCCCCCAGGACCUCCACGCAGCCUCUUGUGUCGCGACCCCACGCACCUGAUCUCCUCGCAGCCUUCCUGGCCUCAGGUACCACAGCCCCUGCGCCACGGCUCCUUCGCUUCCAGGGGCCAAGACUUCCGGCUUCUGCGGUUUACCACGGGGAGGGGGGCAUAGACACGGGAAAUAAACGCCUGACUCAGCCUUGGUCUGCGUCUGCCUGGAAGGAGACGGAGAGACACGUCCACCUUACAGCUUCCCGGCCUCGCAGGCCUGCCAAGGAAUGUGGCCUGGGUGGGAGGGACGUCCACAGCUGUGCGCAGAGCGGUGCCCUCCAGGACCAGGCCUCCACCCGGUGGAGUGAGCCCAUGUGGCCGGUUUGGCCUUUGCGAGCAGGUCAAGGAAACUUAGGGGGGAAAAAAAAUAAUGCAAC